rnacentral:rRNA from 1 species
UACGGAGGAUCCAAGCGUUAUCCGGAAUCAUUGGGUUUAAAGGGUCCGUAGGCGGUUUAGUAAGUCAGUGGUGAAAGCCCAUCGCUCAACGGUGGAACGGCCAUUGAUACUGCUAGACUUGAAUUACUAGGAAGUAACUAGAAUAUGUAGUGUAGCGGUGAAAUGCUUAGAGAUUACAUGGAAUACCAAUUGCGAAGGCAGGUUACUACUAGUGGAUUGACGCUGAUGGACGAAAGCGUGGGGAGCGAACAGG